UUUUAAUUGCAUGAACCAUCAUUGCAUUCUAAGAGUACAUCUGUCUCUACAGCAUAUAUAACAUAUUUUGUUUCUUGGUGUUUUACCAGCUGUUGAGAAAAUUAAGAAUUUUUGAAAAGCUAUAAAAAAACAAAACAAAAAAACAAGCACAGAACAAAUCAAACAUUCAACCUUCAAUUGCAAAUGUAAAAACUCAGUUCAUUAGAAAUACUUCCUCUAAAAUCCUAAUCUGUUCAUAUUUUAAAUAUUUUAAAAGCUAACAAACAUGCUGCUUCAGCAUCUUGGAGAAGCAUUUAAAACUUAUGAACUCAAACUAUAAUAGUAUAAAUACUAUAUAACUAUGUGCUCAAUUGCUUAGUCGUGUCCAACUCUUUGCAAUCCCAUGGACUGUAGCUCCUGUGUCCAUGGGAUUAUCAAAGCAAGAAUACUGGAAUGGGCUGCCACUUCCUCAUCCAGGGAUCGAACCCACAUUUCCUGUGGCUCCUGCAAUAGCUCUGUGGAUUCUUUACCACUGAGCCACCUGGGAAGCCUAUUAUAUCACUAUAUGGAGUAUAUAUUUAACUUGAGAAGUUGAUUUUAUUGCAAACUUAUCCUACUAUAUUUUCUUUAACUUCAUCCUAAAAUCCCUAUGUAUUUCUGUUGGAUAAGAAUUUAAACCUCAAGACACAAUAAACUAUAUACUCUUGAGGAAAUUUAAGGUUUUCUUCUUCUAAAAUUGUUGAUAAUACAUACAAUUAGUCACAGGUAGUGACACUAACAGUUUGAAAUGUUAGGUUUAAGAAUAUAUAACAGAACAAAAUACAUGAAAUAAAAAACAUCACUUAUAACUUCAUUUCUCAACAUAAGCAUUAUGUGCACUUCUAAUCAUCCAAAUCUUGUUUUCUAGCUCAUGUGGAGGUUGUUAGCUUUUAAACAGAAAGAGUUUGACUUGGACCAAACUAGGGAAAAGAAUAAAACAAUAUACAACAUUCUGAAGUAGCAAUUUUUCAUCUGUAGGAGUACAUUG
ensembl:lncRNA